rnacentral:misc_RNA from 1 species
UGUGCGCUGAGCAGUGAGCUG